rnacentral:rRNA from 1 species
AGUGAACGCUGGCGGUAGGCCUAACACAUGCAAGUCGAACGGCAGCACCGUAAGAGCUUGCUCUUACGGGUGGCGAGUGGCGGACGGGUGAGGAAUACAUCGGAAUCUACUUUUUCGUGGGGGAUAACGUAGGGAAACUUACGCUAAUACCGCAUACGACCUACGGGUGAAAGCAGGGGAUCUUCGGACCUUGCGCGAUUGAAUGAGCCGAUGUCGGAUUAGCUAGUUGGCGGGGUAAAGGCCCACCAAGGCGACGAUCCGUAGCUGGUCUGAGAGGAUGAUCAGCCACACUGGAACUGAGAAACGGUCCAGACUCCUACGGGAGGCAGCAGUGGGGAAUAUUGGACAAUGGGGGCAAGCCUGAUCCAGCCAUUCCGCGUGGGUGAAGAAGGCCUUCGGGUUGUAAAGCCAUUUUGUUGGGAAAGAAAAGCAGCAGGUUAAUACCCCGCUGUUCUGACGGUACCCAAAGAAUAAGCACCGGCUAACUUCGUG